rnacentral:rRNA from 1 species
UACGGAGGGUGCGAGCGUUAUCCGGAAUUACUGGGUUAAAGGGUGCGUAGGCGGCUGUGUAAGUCAGGAGUGAAAGUUUGCGGCUCAACCGUAAAAUUGCUUUGAUACUGCACGGCUAGAAUCAGGAUGAGGUCAGCGGAAUGUGGCAUGUAGCGGUGAAAUGCAUAGAUAUGCCAUAGAACACCAAAUUGCGAAGGCAGCUGGCUAGACCUGUAUUGACGCUGAGGCACGAAAGCGUGGGGAGCGAACAGGAUUAGAUACCC